GACAGAGGGGGGCAAGCGUUGCUCGGAAUUACUGGGCGUAAAGGGCGCGCAGGCGGUCGUUCAAGUCGCGUGUGAAAGCCCCCCGGCUCAACUGGGGAGGGUCACGCGAUACUGAUCGACUCGAAGGCAGGAGAGGGAAGUGGAAUUUCCGGUGUAGCGGUGAAAUGCGUAGAUAUCGGAAGGAACAUCAGUGGCGAAAAGCGACUUCCUGGACCAGUACCGACGUUCAGGCACGAAAGCGUGGGGGAGCAAACAGG
rnacentral:rRNA from 1 species